UUGGCGUGCCAGACGGCUACCCCACUUCGCUCCUAACGGAGCUACGGUUGGGGAGGAAAGUCCGAACACCCUUUGUGCAGCAAUGCACGAUGCCAAAAAACGUCGCUAACGGCGACCAGGUAUACGAACGCUUCUCGAUAUUCGCUGCUAGCAUCGAGCACCGAGGAGAUUCUAAGCCUAGGGAAAGUACCACAGAGACAAUACUAGUCCGGCUCGCAAGAGCAGGAUGAAACGUGAAAAGUGAGAUGAGGUCGCCGGCCGUCAAACGCCCACCGGCUACAUCUCUCGUCCCCUGGCGACAGGGAGACGUGGCAAACCCGUUUUGGUGCAAGAGCAAGAUUGGUCGCUCGCAAUAGGAACGUAAAACAUUCCAUGAUCGCCGUAGCAAUACGGCGGCUAGAGAGAUUGCCGUCCCUGUCGGCGCUAUUCGCAAGGAUAUGCGUUGACUCGACAGAAUUCGGCUUACCGGCACGACCCAAGCAA
rnacentral:RNase_P_RNA from 2 species